AAACUGCGAUACGUAGUGUGAAUUGCAGAAUUCAGUGAAUCAUCGAAUCUUUGAACGCAAAUUGCGCUGUUGGGCAUUCCUGACAGCAUGCUUGGCUGAGUAUCAUCUGGACUACCACAAAGUGUAUUCUUUGUGCAAUUGAGGCGUCACAUUGGCAACAAUGGGUCCCUUUAAAUUCAGUCAGGUGAAGGAUGUUAGCGUCCUUUUACCACUAGUGUGUCAAUUGUCCUUUGGGCAUCAUGCACUAUGUCGGUAGCUGGGCAACAAAGCUAAUGCUCUGAACCUUAUCAACUACUCUUCUGAAACUUUGAUCUCAGCUCAAGCAAGACUACCCGCUGAAUUUAA
rnacentral:misc_RNA from 1 species